rnacentral:lncRNA from 1 species
AGUGUGUGGGAACGUGUAGGUGCCUGAGUGACCUUCCUGUGUGUCACUGGCCCUCGCCUGUCUUCCUCGCAGCUUCGGCCCUUUCAGAUGCGUGUGCUGUGCAGCUAGACCCAGCUCCUGGCACCUUGGCCUGGUGGGCUUGUGCCUCAGGCCUUUGCUGGCUUCCUGGUGAUCGAGCGUGGCCUGCUUUCUCGGUUAGGAGCUGGUGU